rfam:Triticum aestivum genome assembly, contig: Triticum_aestivum_CS42_TGACv1_scaffold_222268_3B
UUUCUACUCCCUCCGUCCGAAAAUACUUGUCAUCAAAAUGGAUAACAAGAGAUGUAUCUAAAACUAAAAUACGUCUAGAUACAUUUCCUUUUAUCCAUUUUGAUGACAAGUAUUUUCGGACAGAGGAAGUAUUUG